rnacentral:rRNA from 1 species
CCCAGACUCCUACGGGAGGCAGCAGUGGGGAAUAUUGGACAAUGGGGGGAACCCUGAUCCAGCGACGCCGCGUGAGUGAAGAAGUAUUUCGGUAUGUAAAGCUCUCUCAGCAGGGAAGAAAGAAAUGACGGUACCUGAAGAAGAAGCCCCGGCUAACUACGUGCCAGCAGCCGCGGUAAUACGUAGGGGGCAAGCGUUAUCCGGAUUUACUGGGUGUAAAGGGGGCGCAGACGGCGAUGCAAGCCAGGAGUGAAAGCCCGGGGCCCAACCCCGGGACUGCUCUUGGAACUGCGUGGCUGGAGUGCAGGAGGGGCAGGCGGAAUUCCUGGUGUAGCGGUGAAAUGCGUAGAUAUCAGGAGGAACACCGGUGGCGAAGGCGGCCUGCUGGACUGCAACUGACGUUGAGGCCCGAAAGCGUGGGGAGCAAACAGGAUUAGAUACCCCCGUA